CCUUUACGGCUCCCGUUUCUUCUCUCGCUCGCUCAUCUCCUCUCCAACGGGUGUUCCCCGAGCACGUUCUCACCCAGAGCCACUUUCCCGGCACUGCAGAUGCUAAAGAUGGGCUAGGAGUGCUCCACGAUCUCCGGACACUCGCAGUUCACAGAGAAGACAGACUCACAGACGGUCCCGGCAAGGUGGCACGGGGUGCAGGCACUGUGCAGGUUCAGCAGGGACCGAAGUAAAGUCCUUGUCCUCACAAGCUGUCCGUGGUCGGCGGGGACAGAAAACAAAUGAAGAUGAAAUAAGUCUACAUUCGUAGUUCUAUGUGAGCAGAACCAGCGAAUCCGUGCACGUUGUGAUGUCAUCCUGAUACCAUCCUCUGGAGGGCCUGUCCCUCCCUCUUGUCAUCUCACAGCCACUGCCUGCAGCCUGACCAUCACCCUGUCUUCACUGGCCUGCGCUGACCUGACAUCCAUCCCUGAGCCCCGGUCCGUUCUCCACGUACCAGCCGGGGUGGGGGAGGGGCAUGCUUUCCAUGGCCCUGACCACUUGCUGGAGGCCCCGUGCUGGCUUGCUCUUUCUUGGCAAAGUCCUAAUCCUCGCCACAGCCCGCAACAGCCUGUGUCAUCUGCCCAAGGCCGUUAGGCCUGGAGUGUUGAUAUUUUGUGUGCAUGUGAUCACGAUGACCAGAUUUCUGUGAGGCGGUCAUGAAGAAGACAGGAACCGGGGACAGUGAUGGGAAGUGUAGGGAAGCGGAUGUCAGGGGAUUAAGAGGGAGACCUUUCUGUUUGAGCUCUCCGAUAAUGGGCAGCCUGCCUGGAGGAGCACUUAGCUCCCCAUCACCGUGUGUGUGCAGCACAGAGGCUGGGGGACUCCUUGGCAGGGAAGGUGUUGAGGAAAUCUGAGCGUUGGUUGGAAAGAUGAUUUAGCAGACAUCCGAGGUUUAUCUUAUCCAUCUUUUAAAUGUUUCAUCCUAAAGUUGCUUUCAGAUGCUCUUCAGGUAGAACACAGUCUGUCUUUCCAAAGAGGAGUUUCAAGAGCUAUCUAUCUUCCUAGGUGGCUAGCUGUAACCCAUCUGUCCGCUCAUCCAUGAUCUAUCCAUCCACCCACCCACCUGCUAACCCACAAACCCAGCCACCAACCCAUCCCUUCAUAUGUAUGUAUAUCCCACCCACCCAUCCGUCCAUCCACUCAUCCGUACAUGUGUCCUUCCAUCCACCUACCCUCCCAUCCAUCCACCCACCCACCCAUUCACCCUC